CCUACGGGAGGCAGCAGUGGGGAAUAUUGGACAAUGGGCGAAAGCCUGAUCCAGCCAUGCCGCGUGUGUGAAGAAGGACUUCGGAUUGUAAAGCACUUUAAGUAGGGAGGAAGGGUUGGAUAUUAAUCCUCUGCAAUUUUGACGUUACCGACAGAGUAAGCACCGUCUAGCUCUGUGCCAGCAGGCGCGGUAAUACUGAGGGGGGAAGCGGUAAUCGGAAUUACUGGGCGUAAAGCGCGCGUAGGUGGGGUGUCAAGUCGGAUGUGAAAUCCCGGGGCUCAACCUGGGAACUGCAUUCAAAACUGACUGACUGGAGUACGGUAGAGGGAAGUGGAAUUUCUUGUGUAGCGGUGAAAUGCGUAGAUAUAAGCAGGAACACCAGUGGCGAAGGCGACUACCUGGACUGAUACUGACACUGAGGUGCGAAAGCGUGGGGAGCAAACAGGAUUAGAUACCCCUGUAGUC
rnacentral:rRNA from 1 species